AAGUCAUGUUGAGGACAAUUUCUCAAAAGACUUUUUUUUAUCUCCCCUAAGCUUCAUAUUAGGACUCAUCGAUUUCUUGUUGGAAGUUAGCUGUCUUCUUUUUAAGUUU